rnacentral:rRNA from 1 species
GGAUAACCGUGGUAAUUCUAGAGCUAAUACAUGCUAAAAACCCCGACUCAAGAAGGGGUGUAUUUAUUAGAUUCAAACCAGUGUCCCUCGGGACUUUUUGGUGACUCAUAAUAACUUAACGCAGCGCAUGGCCUUCGUGCCGGCGCGGGAUCAUUCAAAUACCUGCCCUAUCAAGUUUCGAUGUGAGGGUAGUGUCCUCACAUGCUUUUGACGGGUAACGGGGAAUUAGGGUUCGACUCCGGAGAGGGAGCCUGAGAAACGGCUACCACAUCCAAGGAAGGCAGCAGGCGCGCAAAUUACCCAAUCCCGAUACGGGGAGGUAGUGACAAGAAAUACCGAUUCAGGAUCUUAUUGGAUCUUGAGAUUGGAAUGAGUACAAUUCAAACCCAUUAACGAGGAACAACUAGAGGGCAAGUCUGGUGCCAGCAGCCGCGGUAAUUCCAGCUCUAGUAGCGUAUAUUAAAAUUGUUGCAGUUAAAACGCUCGUAGUUGAACUUUGGGCUUGGCUGGCUGGUCCGCCUCACCGCGAGCACUGGUCCGGCUGGGCCUUUCCUCUUGGGGAUCCACAUGCCCUUCACUUGGGUGUGUUGGGGAACCAGGACUUUUACUUUGAAAAAAUUAGGGUGUUCAAAGCAGGCAUUUGCUCGAAUACAUUAGCAUGGGAUAAUAGAAUAGGACGUGUGGUCUUAUUUUGUUGGUUUCUAGGACCGCCGUAAUGAUUGAUAGGGAUAGUUGGGGGCAUCGGUAUUCAAUUGUCAGAGGUGAAAUUCUUGGAUUUAUUGAAGACCAACUACUGCGAAAGCAUUUGCCAAAGAUGUUUUCAUUAAUCAGGGAACGAAAGUUAGGGGAUCGAAGAUGAUCAGAUACCGUCGUAGUCUUAACCGUAAACUAUGCCGACUAGGGAUCGGGUGGUG